UCAGAUGCAAACCGUUUGUGGUGACAAAAUUGAUAGGAGAAGUACUGUAUAGUCUUAAUUUAAGUUCCUUAACUCACAAAUAUUUUAAAGCUCAAGGAAACAAUCACUUAGUGAAUCAGAGUAUAUUGUAAAACCCAAAAAAAAUUAUUGAAAUUUUAUUAGAAUUUUUUUAUAAUUUUAUUUUGAAUUGUUGGUGUGUCUUGUGAUUUUAUUUGUGUUAGUAGUGAGGGUUUAAUUAAAUAAAAGUAGAGUUUAUUGUAUAUAAUAUAAUAAUCAUAGAAAAU
rnacentral:lncRNA from 1 species